GUUGAUAAAUACAUCACAAUCAGAAUAGGGAUUUUGCCCACAACUGAUGAUGUUUUUUUGGUUAACCUUCCAUUCAGGGAACAUAAACCAUAUUUAUUGAAAAUAAAACGUGCUCAAUGGAUCACUAUAGACUUAAAAUAGAAUAGGGAUUUUGCCCAAGUCUAUUUGAUUAAUGUUGACAUGUUUCAUACAGGAAACAUAGGAACUAGAAC
rnacentral:lncRNA from 1 species